GACGAACGCUGGCGGCGUGCUUAACACAUGCAAGUCGAACGGAAAGGCCCUGCUUUUGUGGGGUGCUCGAGUGGCGAACGGGUGAGUAACACGUGAGUAACCUGCCCUUGACUUUGGGAUAACUUCAGGAAACUGGGGCUAAUACCGGAUAGGAGCUCCUGCUGCAUGGUGGGGGUUGGAAAGUUUCGGCGGUUGGGGAUGGACUCGCGGCUUAUCAGCUUGUUGGUGGGGUAGUGGCUUACCAAGGCUUUGACGGGUAGCCGGCCUGAGAGGGUGACCGGCCACAUUGGGACUGAGAUACGGCCCAGACUCCUACGGGAGGCAGCAGUGGGGAAUAUAGCACAAUGGGCGGAAGCCUGAGGCAGCAACGCCGCGGGCGGGAUGACGGCCUUCGGGUGGUAAACCGCUUUCGCCUGUGACGAAGCGUGAGUGACGGUAAUGGGUAAAGAAGCACCGGCUAACUACGU
rnacentral:rRNA from 1 species